rnacentral:rRNA from 1 species
AUUGAACGCUGGCGGCAGGCCUAACACAUGCAAGUCGAACGAGUGGCGGACGGGUGAGUAAUGACUGGGAAACUUCCUGAGGGAGGGGGAUAACUACUGGAAACUGUAACUACUACCGCAUACCAUCAGCUAUGCCCAGAUGGGAUUAGCUUGUUGGUGGGGUAACGGCGCACCAAGGCGACGAUCCCUAGCUGGUCUGAGAGGAUGACCAGCCACACUGGAACGGAGACACGGUCCAGACUCCUACGGGAGGCAGCAGUGGGGAAUAUUGGACAAUGGGCGAAAGCCUGAUCCAGCCAUGCCGCGUGUGUGAAGAAGGUCUUCGGAUUGUAAAGCACUUUAAGUUGGGAGGCGUUACCAACAGAAUAAGCACCGGCUAACUUCGUGCCAGCAGCCGCGGUAAUAC